CUAUACCCCCCACCCCAAAAAAAAAUUUUAUGCCCCCGGUAGGGUGGCAUAUAGCAGUUGAACUGUCCUCCGUCAGUAUGUCAGUCAGUCUGUCUGUCCGUCCGAAAAAAACUUUAACAUUGGCGAUAAAUUUUUCACUUUUGAAGAUAGCAACUUGAUAUUUGGCAUGCAUGUGUAUCUCAUGGAGCUACACAUUUUGAGUGGUGAAAGGUCAAGGUCAUCCUUCAUCCUUCAAGGUCAAAUGUCAAAUUUAUGGUGUCUGUCCGUCCGAAAACUUUAACAUUGGCCAUAACGUUUUCAAUAUUGAAGAUAGCAACUUGAUAUGCAUGUGUAUCUCAUGGAGCUGAACAUUUUGAGUGGUGAAAGGUUAAGGUCAAGGUCACUUUAACAUUGCCCAUAACUUUUUUUAAUAUUGAAGAUAGCAACUUGAUAUUUGGCAUGCAUGUGAAUCUCAUGAAGCUGCACAUUUUGAGUGAUGGAAGUUGAAGGUCAAGGACAUCCUUCAAGGUCAAGGUCAUCCUUCAAGGUCAAAGGUAAAAAAAUAAAAUAAUUUCAAAGCGGCGUUCUCAUGGAGCUGAACAUUUUAAAUGGUGAAAGGUGAAGGUCAAGGUCACUUUAACAUUGCCAUUAACUUUUUUAAUAUUGAAGAUAGCAACUUGAUAUUUGGCAUGCAUGUGUAUCUCAUGAAGCUGCACAUUUUGAGUGGUGAAAGCUGAAGGUCAAGGUCAUCCUUCAAGGUCAGGGUCAUCAUUCAAGGUCAAAGGUCAAAAAAAAUAUUUCAAAGCCGCGUUCUCAUGAAGCUGCACAUUUUGAGUGGUGGAAGUUCAAGGUCAAGGUCAUUCUUCAAGGUCAAGGUCAUCCUUCAAGGUCAAAGGUAAAAAAAAUAAAAAAAUUCAAUUGGCGUUAUCAUGAAGCUGCACAUUUUGAGUGGUGGAAGUUCGAGGUCCAGUUCAUCCUUCAAGGUCAAGGUCAUCCUUCAAGGUCAAAGGUAAAAAAUAAUAUAAAAAAAUCAAAUCGGCGUUAUCAUGAAGCUGCACAUUUUGAGUGGUGGAAGCUCAAUGUCAAGGUCAUCCUUCAAGGUAAAAAAUAAAUAAAAUCAAAGCGGCGUUCUCAUAAAGCUGCACAUUGUGAGUAGUGGAAGUUCAAGGUCAAGAUCAUCCUUCAAGGUCAAAGGUCAAAUUUUUUAGACUCCACCCAAACCACCCUCCACGCCCCCCGCAUAAUUCACUCCCCCCCCGAAUCCCCCCUCAAUCCCCCCAUUAUAUUUUUUUUUAAAUUAAAGAUCAUCUAAUAAAUGACCACCACACCCUCACACAUUAACCCCCCACCCAAAAAAUAAUUUUUAUGCCCCCGGUAGGGUAGCAUAUAGCAGUUGAACUGUCCGUCAGUAUGUCAGUCAGUCUGUCUGUCCGUCCGAAACAAACUUAAACAUUGGCGAUAAAUUUUUCACUUUUGAAGAUAGCAACUUGAUAUUUGGCAUGCAUGUGUAUCUCAUGGAGCUACACAUUUUGAGUGGUAAAAGGUCAAGGUUAUCCUUCAUACUUCAAGGUCAAAUGUCAAAUUUAUGGUGUCUGUCCGUCCGAAAACUUUAACAUUGGCCAUAACUUUUUCAAUAUUGAAGAUAGCAACUUGAUAUGCAUGUGUAUCUCAUGGAGCUGAACAUUUUGAGUGGUGAAAGGUGAAGGUCAGGGUCACUUUAACAUUGCCCAUAACUUUUUUAAUAUUGAGGAUAGCAACUUGAUAUUUGGCAUGCAUGUGUAUCUCAUGAAGCUGCACAUUUUGAGUGGUGGAAGUUGAAGGUCAAGGUCAUCCUUCAAGGUCAAGAUCAUCCUUCAAGGUCAAAGAAUAAUAAUUUCAAAGCGGCGUUCUCAUGAAGCUGCACAUUUUGAGUGGUGGAAGCUCAAGGUCAAGGUCAUUGUUCAGGGUCAAGGUUAUCCUUCAAGGUCAAAGGUAUUUUUUUUUAAUUUCAAUUGGCGUUAUCAUGAAGCUGCACAUUUUGAGUGGUGGAAGUUCAAGGUCCAGGUCAUCAUUCAAGGUCAAGGUCAUCCUUCAAGGUCAAAGGUACAAAAAUAAUAUAAAAAAUUCAAAUCGGCGUUAUCAUGAAGCUGCACGUUUUGAGUGGUGGAAGCUCAAGGUCAAGGUCAUCCUUCAAGGUAAACAAAAAAACAACAUUUCAAAGCGGCGUUCUCAUGAAGCUGCACAUUCUGAGUAGUUGAAGUUCAAGGUCAAGAUCAUCCUUCAAGGUCAAAGGUCAAUUUUUUAAAUAAAAAAUUCAAAGCAGCGUUCUCAUGAAGCUGCACAUUUUGAGUGGUUGAAGGUCAAGGUCAAGGUCAUUCUUCAAGGUCAAAGGUAAAAAAAAUAAAUAAUUAUAAAGCGGCUUUAUCAUGAAGCUGCACAUUUUUAGUGGUGGAAGUUCAAGGUCAAGGUCAUCCUUCAAGGUCAAGGUCAUCCUUAAAGGUCAAAGGUCAAAAAAAUAUUUCAAAGCGGCGUUCUCAUAAAGCUGCACAUUUUGAGUGGUGGAAGUUCAAGGUCAAGGUUAUCCUUCAAGGUCAAUGGUAAAAAAAUAAUUUCAAUGCGGCGCAAUAGGGGGCAUUGUGUUUCUGACAAACACAUCUCUUGUUUUUUUCAAACAUGGUUAAAAAACAAAUAUUUAUUUUUAUUAUUUUAUUUUUCAAAUACCGUCCAACCAUCCCACGCAAGAAUCCCCCCCCCCCCAAAAAAAAAAUUUUUUAUAAUUUUUUUCAUUUUUUUUCAUUUUUUGGAAGAUAAUAUAAUAAAUGACCACACCCCAACACUAUACACCCCUCUCCACUCCACCCCUCCCUCCUUUGUGAUUGAAAUUGAGAUAGGUCCCUACACCUUUAAAAAGAAAAUAGAUGAGCGGUCUGCACCCGCAAGGCGGUGCUCUUGUUUAUAAAAUGCAUCACAUGGCUGACAAGUCACUUCCUUUACUGGCCUGGAUGUGUCUAUGGUGUGGAAACUGUGUUCCACUGACUUCAUCUCAUUCACAGGUUUUUCCUUGGCACUUAAGAUUUUUGAAGCAGUGUACCUUUACAUGUCCACAGUUUGUUGGUGCACGACUCACUGGCAUGAUCUUGAAGAUAAGAUUGAUCAAGGAAUGAUCUUAAUUUUGGCAGUUGGGUUCCAGUCGCAUUUUUGUGUGUCUUUUUAACUAAUGGUGCAUCGUCUGGCUUGGGUCUGUCGAAGUUAAUGUUAUCAAACUCCUCAUGCCGCACAGCUGUCCUUGCACCUCUACUCCACAGCCUAUCCUUGUCUGUACAGGUUUUUCCAGCGAUUCCAUGGCUCCAUGCUUAUGCCACAGCAUAAAUAAUGGCUGAGAUGUGGCUGCAGUUCUUGCCUGUGCCUGCUGGACAUGUACAAUAGCCUGUGAGGAUUGUAGAAUCAUCUGCUAUUGCCACCCAAGCCAUGUAAUCUGCACGGCCGCCUCCUGGUUGAGAUGGCGACACUUUGGCUUUUAGAAAGUGGAUGUUGUUGUGUGAGCUACACAUUAUGUCCCCUAACCAGCCAUUUUGAACAUAGUUGUAUGCAUACAGUGAUCGAAACGAUUUCAUCGCUUUUCCAUCAUAUGCUUUGGCAAUCACAAGGUAGUCAACCAAAUCCUCAUAUGUCACAUUUGGCCAAGAAGUUGGAUCAUUAACUGUCCACUUGACGUCAUCUGAGGGAAGGCCUGAAACAAAAAAAGGCUUAAUUUCACUAAUGUUUGAUGUAUUCUCACUGUUGUUUUGCUUCUUUUGGGAAACGGGUGGUGACACAAAGUUUAGUCAUAGCUCUUUCAUGCAAACAAUAAAGUUCAAUUAAGAUAGCAACAUUGAUUAAACGUUUGGCCAACGUCAAACCGAAAUUGAAAUGUCAUUUUGACGUUGGAUUACCGUUGAGCGUACGACAUGCACUGAUAGAUCUAUCUUAUAAUAUUGAUUCCAUGAAUUUCUUUCCAAAGGCAAAAUUGAUUACAUUCACCAGAGACGUAGAUAACAUCUUCGUCUCAUCAUGCACAUGUGUGUUUGAUUAUAUCAAUAUAUCUGUUUUUGUCCAUGUGCUGGCCUGUAGAUAAUUAAAGAUGUUAACUUGUCAAUAUGAAUACAUUUUCGGAUAGAUCUGUUUGUUCGGCAAUUUGAUCAGUGUAUGAUGUUGACAUGUCGAUCGAAUCUAUGUUAGUGUAUCUUAACGCUAUAUAACAGUCUUCCGUGGAAGGCAACAUUUAUGACUUAUAUUAAGUAUAUUCGCCUACUAUGUCUUUAUUUUCGUUUUCACUGUAAGACAUAUCCUCGGCAAAUAAGUUACACUGAAAGAAAGGACGUCUCCUAUGCUCAUUUCAAUCUGAUUAUUUUUUAUGUUUAUGUUUUCUGAGUUAUGUUACUUAUUUUUGUAAAUAAUAUAAUGGCUGUAUUGGUUUGCCUUAUUUCGACCUCUUGUAUGUGUAUAUACUCGAUUGUACUCCAUUGCUUAUAAUUUGUAUUAUAUGUUGUGCUCUUCAUGAAUGGAGGGAAUUAAAAGUCUAUCUAUCUAUUGUUAUGAAGCAUGUAACAAAAACUGAUUGUUUGAGUGUGUACAUUUAAGCGUCUAUAAGUAAAUAAGAAAAGUUUAUAUAAUUGUAUUUCUAUAAAUAGUUCAGUCCUCAUGUGUUGUAUUCCAUAGCCGCUGCACUUCCAUAUAAGCGUCAUGGUGUUGCCAGGUGCUGCUUGGCUGCAGCGAACUCUGCAACAUGUGAAUGGUUCUCGCAAAAUAUUGGCAAAAGGCGCUUAAAUCCAAAUCCCUGUUCAUCUCUUAAGAAACACAAACUAUGUAAGAAAUGAAACAUAGUAAAAUACUAAAUGAUAGUAAUAAUUUCAAUUUUAUUAUUGUAUAAUCGAACAACUAUUUAAAAAUUAUCUUAAACCGAGAAUCUAUUUGAACUACGGUUAUAAGUGUGGUAUUGUUGAUUAAACUGAAAUAAAUACAAUGUUAUCGAUCAAUGUAUGUAACUUCGAAUAAAUGAGAAUAUCAAAACCUAAA